CCGCGGGAUGGUGCUGAUCAAAGAGUUGUGAGUGGGGGGGCGCUGGGGGCUCCCGGCUCUGACCCCGCCCCCCUUUCUCUCUCCGCAGCCGCGCGCUGCUGCCCUGCUCCCUGGAGGCGCAAGGUGCCCGGCUUGGUGAAGAUGUUGGCGCCCGAGGGCUCCCUGCUGUGCCACGAGAAGGCCUGGAAGUCCCACCCCUGCUGCCGCCCCGGGACAAAGGCUGGUUCCCCCCUGGAGGCGAUUCCCCUCUCUGAUCAGCUGACCCUGGCCC